rnacentral:rRNA from 1 species
GACGAACGCUGGCGGCGUGCUUAACACAUGCAAGUCGAACGGAAAGGCCUGCUUUCCCUUGUGGAUUGCGGGUACUCGAGUGGCGAACGGGUGAGUAACACGUGAGUGAUCUGCCCCCAACUUGGGUAUAAGCCUGGGAAACUGGGUCUAAUUCCCGAUAGGACUGCAGGGUGGUGCCUGUGGUGGAAAACGAUUUUCUAGUGGUUGGGGAUGAGCUCGCGGCCUAUCAGCUUGUUGGUGGGGUAAUGGCCUACCAAGGCGGCGACGGGUAGCCGGCCUGAGAGGGUGGACGGCCACAUUGGGACUGAGAGACGGCCCAGACUCCUACGGGAGGCAGCAGUGGGGAAUAUUGCACAAUGGGCGGAAGCCUGAUGCAGCGACGCCGCGUGGGGGAUGACGGCCUUCGGGUUGUAAACUCCUUUCGACCGCGAGGAAGCCACCUGGUGGGAAGGGUGGUGACGGUAGUGGUAGAAGAAGCACCGGCUAACUACGU